CGCACGAGAAGUGGAGCAAUCCAUGAGUAAAGUGGCGCACGGGUGAGUAACACGUGGAUGAUCUACCUUUUAGUGGGGAAUACCUCCGGGAAACUGGAGACAAUACCGCAUAAGCCGUUGUUUUCAAUGAUGACGGGAAAGCCGCAAGGCGCUGAAAGAGGAGUCCGCGGUCGAUUAGCUUGAUGGCGGGGUAAUGGCCCACCAUGGCGAAGAUCGAUAGCCGGCCUGAGAGGGCACACGGCCACACUGGCACUGAAACACGGGCCAGACUCCUACGGGAGGCAGCAGUGGGGAAUCUUGCACAAUGGGGGAAACCCUGAUGCAGCGACGCCGCGUGAGUGAUGAAGCCCUUCGGGGUGUAAAGCUCUUCCGACAGGAACGAUAAUGACGGUACCUGAAGAAGAAGCUGCGGCUAACUACGUGCCAGCAGCCGCGGUAAUACGUAGGCAGCAAGCGUUGUUCGGAAUUACUGGGCGUAAAGAGUGUGUAGGCGGUGCACUAAGUUUGUCGUGAAAUCUCCCGGCUUAACUGGGAGGGUGCGGCGAAAACUGGUGUGCUCGAGGGUGGGAGAGGUAAGCGGAAUUCCUGGUGUAGCGGUGAAAUGCGUAGAUAUCAGAGGAACACCUGUGGUGUAGACAGCUUACUG
rnacentral:rRNA from 1 species